rnacentral:rRNA from 1 species
AUGGCUGAAAUCAGUGAUGCCCCAGCAGUUACUUCCGGUGAGCUUGCGGCUGUACUGCGAGCGAUGGAUGAGAAAUACAGGGCUCUGUUUGAUGCAAUCAGCAAGCAAGCUAGCAGCUCCAAAUCAGAGGCUGAAAUAAAGGAGGAGAUACAUCCCUUACAGAUGCCACAUGUGAAGUUAGAGGGUCCUGAGAACUAUGUAAGCUGGGCUGAGCAUGCUGAAACCAUCCUGGUUUCAAGGAAAUUGGAAGGAUACAUCCUUGGGACAGUAGAGAAACCUGAGGAAGAAGGUUCAAAAGAAGGCCAAAAAUGGAGAGCAACCAAUGCUUUGGUCAGGGCAUGGCUUCUGAGUUCGAUGUCUUCUCAGAUUGCAAAGCAGGUUGAGAGAAUCAAAGAUGCUUCAGAGAUUUGGAGGCUCCUGAAAGGCACAUAUUCAGGAGUGGGAAAUGAGAUGUUAGCAUGCAAAAUUCAAAAGGAGUUGCAGGAGCUGAGCCAAGGUGAGAGAACAGUGGUGGAAUAUGUGUCUGAACUUAAAAGGUUGUGGACUGACCUGGACUACUAUGAUCCAGUUGAAAUGGAGUGUGGGAAAUGUAUUGAGAAGCAUAGUAAGUGGACUGAGAGGAGACAUGUUAGAGACUUCCUAAAUGGCCUCCAUCCCAGGUUUCAAAAUAGGAGAGCAGCUCUAUAUGGCAGUGGGAAGCUACCAAGUCUUGAGCAAGCAAUUUCUGCAAUAGCGAGUGAAGAAACUCGGCUAAGGUUGGAGGCAGCAGGAUCGGCUUCACAGGGAGUAACGCAAAGGCACUCAGCUUUCUUGGCUGCAGGAGGUGGAAGAUACCAAAGAACAGGAGCAGGUAACGGUGAAAGAAAAUGUCUUGAAUGUGGAUCACCAGGACAUCUUGUGGCAGGCUGCCCUAAAUUGAUGGGAGGAGGUCGUGGUAGAGGCCAGGACUGGCGAGGUAGAGCCAGAGGCGGAUUAUUUGAUGCAUGUGGUGGCCGUGGGAGAGGCAUGUUGUUUCCCGGAAGAGCAAACACUUCAGCUGCCGAGGAAGUGUCUCAGAAAUUGAGCGUUGAGAUAACCCUCGAUGAGCUAGAGAAGUGGCGUCAAUUCAAGAACCUAAAUCUUGGUGUUGAACUGCCUCAGGAGUCACAUGCAUCAUCCUCUUCAUCAGCAAAUUUUUCUGGAACUUGGAACUGGAAAAGAGAUUGGGAUAGGGAGCAUGCGUGA